GAUAAGGUUAAGUGAAUAAGGGCGCACGGUGGAUGCCUUGGCACUAGGAGCCGAUGAAGGACGGGACUAACACCGAUAUGCUUUGGGGAGCUGUACGUAAGCUAUGAUCCAGAGAUUUCCGAAUGGGGGAACCCAGCAUCUUUAAUAG
rnacentral:rRNA from 1 species